AAAAAAUUAGUUUAUCCAAAAACCUUAGUUUGUCAAACUAAAAAUAUUAAAAUAAUUAAUAUUUUUUUA
rnacentral:tRNA from 1 species